CAGUCGCCGCGUUAAUACAGAGGGUGCAAGCGUUAAUCGGAAUUACUGGGCGUAAAGCGCGCGUAGGUGGUUUGUUAAGUUGGAUGUGAAAUCCCCGGGCUCAACCUGGGAACUGCAUCCAAAACUGGCAAGCUAGAGUAUGGUAGAGGGUGGUGGAAUUUCCUGUGUAGCGGUGAAAUGCGUAGAUAUAGGAAGGAACACCAGUGGCGAAGGCUACCACCUGGACUGAUACUGACACUGAGGUGCGAAAGCGUGGGGAGCAAACAGGAUUAGAGACCCCAGUAGUCCCUGUCUCUUAUAC
rnacentral:rRNA from 1 species